GACGAACGCUGGCGGCGUGCUUAACACAUGCAAGUCGAACGGAAAGGCCCUGCUUUUGUGGGGUGCUCGAGUGGCGAACGGGUGAGUAACACGUGAGUAACCUGCCCUUGACUUUGGGAUAACUUCAGGAAACUGGGGCUAAUACCGGAUAGGAGCUCCUGCUGCAUGGUGGGGGUUGGAAAGUUUCGGCGGUUGGGGAUGGACUCGCGGCUUAUCAGCUUGUUGGUGGGGUAGUGGCUUACCAAGGCGUUGAUGGGUAGCCGGCCUGAGAGGGUGACCGGCCACAUUGGGACUGAGAUACGGCCCAGAGUCCUACGGGAGGCAGCAGUGGGGAAUAGUGCACAAUGGGCGGAAGCCUGAUGCAGCAACGCCGCGUGCGGGAUGACGGCCUUCGGGUUGUAAGCCGCUUUCGCCUGUGACGAAGCGUGAGUGACGGUAAUGGGUAAAGAAGCACCGGCUAACUACGUG
rnacentral:rRNA from 1 species